rnacentral:lncRNA from 1 species
GUAUCCAAACAGGGCCUUAUUCUAUGGCCAGCUAUACAGAAACACUUCCGUGUGAGUGUAUAUAUAUUCUUGCAUAUAUUAUGAAUAAAACAAGAAAUCUAAUUGUUUUGUAUCUUGAUGUUGUUUGUGGUAUUGAUUUUGCUAUUUCUAAUAUAGAAAUAUACAACUAUUGGGAUGUAUAAAUAUUUUCAUGAGAAUGAAAUUACAAGUGGUUUCCACAGGUGUGCCAUCAAAGGUAUAUCAAAGGAAAGUGUGUUGAUUCUUAGGCUAGUUUCAAUAGGGGUGUCAUGGGAGUUUCCCGGGUAUUUAACUUCAUGCCACAUUAACAAAACUGCUGACUUGCCAUACUAUUUAUGAGGAGAGAGGAGACGGGAGUUUCAUCCCCAUGAAACCCACUUGGCACAGUUACCAAGUCCCUUAAAAUUCAAUAAAACUUGCACUAAGCAUGUUAUGGUUUCAUGCAUGACAUAUUUGGCCAUAGGAUAAUGCAUAAAUUAAAUGAUUUAGGCUAUCUAUGAAAUUGUGCAAUGAAACUAUGCACUGAGAGUGACAAUUUCAUUUCAUUGAAAAGCUGACACGGUACUCUUGGUAAUAGUGCGAUGAAACCUGCAUUGAGAUGUAAAUGCAGUGCAAUAAACUUGACUCUAAUUACUACUACCUGGUAGUUUAGCUCUACUUAGGUCAACGUAGCUAGCAGUUAUUUCUGUUGCUGGUGGUCAAAAUACGAAAAGUAAUAUAAAUGAAGAGUCAAUUUUUCCUGCAAACACCAAUGAUCCAUGCUUUCUAAUUAUUGCUAUUAGAUUCCAAGGGGGUUGAUUUGGGUUAUCAUCAGGAAGACCUACAAUUACGAAGAUGGCAAAUGAAAGAUAACGAAAUUAUGAUGUCGUCUCUACGUUUAUCCCGUCCACAAACAUACGUACUUCAGUUUAUCCCGUCCACAAACAAAUAGAUGCAUUAUGUUAUUCCAGUUUUAUGUUGGUAUCUAAGUAACAGAAGAAACUUUGACUGUUGCACCAAUGUUCCUUGACAGUGAAGAACAGUAAGGUAUUAGCAGAUAGCUGCUCUCUUGUUUUAACUGGCGACAAGUGGCCUGACUCUAGCCCAGUUUCACAUCACAUACAGCUUGCAUAUUUUCAUUUGAAAGCAAUUUGAAGGUGACUGAAACCCAGAGAGUCCGGCUACCAGGCCUUCUCUUACCCACGCUUUGUUGUUGG